rnacentral:rRNA from 1 species
GAUCAUGGCUCAGGAUGAACGCUAGCUACAGGCUUAACACAUGCAAGUCGCGGGGUAACAUCUGGGAGAGCUUGCUCUUCCAGGAUGACGACCGGCGCACGGGUGAGUAACGCGUAUCCAACCUGGCCCAUACCACGGGAUAGCCCGUCGAAAGGCGGAUUAAUACCGUAUGCUGUCAUUAAGAUGCAUAUAUUGAUGACGAAAGGACUGGCGGUAUGGGAUGGGGAUGCGUCUGAUUAGCUUGUUGGCGGGGUAACGGCCCACCAAGGCGACGAUCAGUAGGGGUUCUGAGAGGAAGGUCCCCCACACUGGUACUGAGACACGGACCAGACUCCUACGGGAGGCAGCAGUGAGGAAUAUUGGUCAAUGGGCGCAGGCCUGAACCAGCCAAGUCGCGUGAGGGAGGACGGUCCUACGGAUUGUAAACCUCUUUUGUCGGGGAGUAACGUGCGGGACGCGUCCCGUAUUGAGAGUACCCGAAGAAAAAGCAUCGGCUAACUCCGUG